rnacentral:rRNA from 1 species
UACGUAGGGGGCAAGCGUUGUCCGGAAUCAUUGGGCGUAAAGCGCGUGUAGGCGGUUCGGUAAGUCCGCUGUGAAAGUCCAGGGCUCAACCCUGGGAUGCGGGUGGAUACUGCCGGGCUCGAGUCCGGAAGAGGCGAGUGGAAUUCCCGGUGUAGCGGUGAAAUGCGCAGAUAUCGGGAGGAACACCAAUGGCGAAGGCAGCUCGCUGGGACGUGACUGACGCUGAGACGCGAAAGCGUGGGGAGCAAACAGG